AUAUCAUCCAAGACCCUUACACACAAAAAUAUCUCGUUUUUCUCUGAACCAAUUAUGUUUCAUUACGCCUUGCUUGUAUCACCCAACAUUAUCAAACAGAGAGAAAACCUUUUGUACUUCUUAGCAUAGAAAUUAUAGAAAAAACCUCUUUCAUCUGUACCAAUUACGUUUUACACAUACAUAAAAGCUGUAAAUUGUCAUCUCAAAAGGACAAAGGAUGAUUGCUAACUAACUUCCUUCGAGAAUGAUUAAUGAUACCAUGUACAUUAUUUUUUUCCCUUUUCAGAACAGGCACAAAAUUUAAAAUUCCAGAAAUGAGGGCUUGAGGUAAUCAUUUACAUCGACACAGUUCUCGAGUGGUACAUAUUUUAUCGGCCCCAUGAAAGGUCAAGUCGACCUCGGCGCACUUCGAAUUCACAAUGUAAAACUGGAAGAAAUGCCACUAAACAUUUUGCCCAGAUUGCUAACGAUUCUGCUAGCUUGCUAUCUUACAGAUACCAUACAUAAAAGGAGCAGUAUAUAGUUUACUCAUUAUCUAAUCAUAAUAAAUCAUGCACUUCAAUAAAGAAAAUACAUUAAAGGUUAUAGUGAAAGCAACUGGUGGCCAUUUUGAAUUGUAAAUAUUUGUUUCAAAUUUUGGCACAAGGCCAGAAAUUCUGCGGGAGGAUUAAAUUGAUUACAUUAACUGGAACUUAACUUAUCUAUCCCAAACAGAUGAAAUGCAAAGUCGACUUCAGCGGAAUUUGAACUCAGAUCGUAAAGGUCAUUAUGCAUUUUUGUCCGGCAUGUCAACGAUUCGGCCAGCUCACUGCCUUAUAUUUGUUGUUCAUAAAUAUAGCUAUCGACUUGUAAACUUUUAUUAAUGAAAGCAUGGGUAAAUAGAUAAAUAUAUAUAUUUCUUUACUGCCCACAAGGGGCUAAACACAGAGGGGACAUACAAGGACAGACAAAGGGAUUAAGUCGAAUACAUCGACCCCAGUGCGUAACUGGUACUUAAUUUAUCGACUCCGAAAGGAUGAAAGGCAAAGUCGACCUCGGCGGAAUUUGAACUCAGAACGUAAUGAUAGACGAAAUACCGCUAAGCAUUUCGCCCGGCGUGCUAACGUUUCGGCCAGAUAAAUAUAUAUGUCGCACUCGGUAUGUUAGGAAUUACCUGCCAUGGUUUCUCUAACAAAUUAACGUUCAGAAACAGUAGGACCAAGGGUCAACCAUACAGUGGUCCUCUUGUGGUGCCAUACUGGAUAUGUAUAAACUUCCGUCAUUGGUCAGUCUUAUUUGUCUUCUGAAACAUACAUAAAUUUGUCCCAAUAUAGCGAUAUUGUGAAGGUGCAUGGCUCAGUGGUUAGAGCGUCGAUCUGACGAUCGUGAGGUUGUGGGCUCGAAUCCCGGACUGGGAUGCGUGUUGUCUUCUUGAGCAAGACUCUUUAUUUCACGUUGCUCCAGUUCAAUCAGCUGUAGAAAUGAGUUGCGACGUCACAGGUGCCAAAUUGUAUCGCCCCCUUUGCCUUUCCCUUGGAUAGCAAUGGUGGCGGGGAGAGGGGAGACCGGUAUGCAUGGGCGACUGCUGGUCUUCCAUAAACAACCUUGCCCGGACUUGUGCCUGGGAGGGUAACUUUCUAGGUGCAAACCCAUGGGCUGUGUCGUGACCGAAGGGGGGGGGUCUCAGAAUAGCGAUGCAGAACACAACCGGCGUUGUACAUUAAAUAAUGAUAUUCACUCAUACAUAUUGAGUACUUUCUCUUACAUCACUUUAUGCAUGGGGUGCGUGUGUGUGUGUGUGUGUUUAUGCCUGUGUGUAUACGCGUGUAUGUGUGAGAGAGUGAGUGUGUGGGGGAGGCAUGUGUAGGUGUCUGCCUGUGUGUGCUUGUAUGUACAUGUCUGCAGGAAUCACAGUGUUGAAUGCUGUUUACAGGAAGCGUAUCGUACGUUUGCGUAUGUAGAUUCAUACAUGCAUACAUACACACAUAUACAUACAUACAUAUAUCUAUUUAUCUAUUGAUUUAUCUACUUUUCUAUCCAUCUUUGAAAUCUCUCUUUCUCUCUCUCCCUCUUUCACUUUCACUUUAUAUAUGCAUGUAUGUGUAUAUAUAUAUAUACAUACAUAUAUAUACACACAUAUGUAUGUAUGUGUGUAUGUAAUAUAUUUUAUCUUUAUAUAUAAUAUAUAGUAUAUAGUAUAUAUAUAUAAUAUAUUCAUUAUUGUGUAUAUGUACAAGCGUUGUGUGUGUUGUGUGUAUAUGUGUGUUUGUGUGUGCGUGUAUGUGUAUGUGUGCGCGCGCCUAUUUUAGUCAUUAAACCGCACACGGUUUUAAAUAAGGAAAAAUAUGGAAAAGUUUUAAUGUAAUUAAAACUUUUUGGAAAUCAGAGAAACUUAAAACAGAUUUGUUAAAUAUGACGAUUUACUUACACUACGAAAAACCUUUUAGCCGUAAAACUCAAAAAGGUAUAUACUAAAAGCUUUUUCUAUAUAAAUGACUCGAAGCAACAUAUGACACAUUAUUUUCCCUUGUUCCCAUUUGUUUAUAUAAAUUAUAAAUGCCAAAUUGACCUUAAGAAUACAUAUACCAAUAUAUUUUCGGUUGACCUAUGAUACGAAACACCUAUUCUGUAAAAACGUGUAGCUGCUUUUAUGUUUCAUAUGUAUGUAUGUAUGUAUGUAUAUAUGUAUGUAUGUAUGUAUGUAUGUAUGUAUGUAUGUAUGUAUGUAUGUAUGUGUAUAUAUAUAUAUAUAUAUAUAUAUAUAUAUAUAUAUAUAUAUAUAUACCGGAGUAAACACAUAAAUGUGAAACAAGGUGGAAAAAAGAUUACUCAAAUACCAGUGGUAGAGUAAUAUGCUUUAUUUAAAAGCAGCAGGGAGAGAGAGAGGGGGGAGAGAGGGGGAGAGAGAGAGAGAAGUAGACAGACAGAGACAGAAAGUGACAACUGGUGAAAUCCAGAGAUGCACAAUAUAGAAAACACUUUGUAGCGCUCAAAUGAUUUUAACUUUCUGUCCGAAAUCUUUACCGAGGACUAAGUCCACAGAGUAGAGAGUUGAGAUAAGAGGAUUCCAGAUGAGCAGAUAUGGAGAUAAUGAUGCAAAUAAACAAAUAAAAACACUUGAGCUAGAUAUACAAAACACACACAUAUAUGUAUAUAUGUAAAUUGAGAGAAAACAAAGAAUGAAAAUAUUCAGAAGAUGAAUAUUCAAGUAUGAAUUUAUAGAUAUUUAUAUAUCAACAGAGCAAACUUACACAGAGUACAAAGACCAGGAAAAAAUAAGGGGGGACGGUAUGGUGCUACAGGACCGACAGGUGUUUCUGAGGGCCCGGAAUUACUUCAUAAUGUUGGCAUACGUAGUUCGCAAGCAGUGGUCGAAGUAUAUAAACCAUUAAGUAGAUCCGGCCUCCGUCUUCAGAGUAGAAAGACAAGUAUCUAUCUAUUUAUCCAUCUAUAUCUAUCUAUCUAUCUAUCUAUCUAUCUAUCUAUCUAUCUAUCUAUCUAUCUAUCUAUCUAUCUUUCUUUCUCUGUCUGUCUCUCUGUCUGUCUCUCUGUCCCUCUCUCUCUCUCUCUCUCUCUCUCUAUAUAUAUAUAUAUAUAUAUAUAUAUAUAUACACACAUAUAUAUAUAAAUUCGUAUAUAUAUGUAUGAAUGUAAUAAUGUAUGUAUUUACGUAAAUAUAUAGUCGGCAUUUUAUAUUCAGACAUUACUGACACAUUGGCUAUAAUAUCAGCCUGAGAUGUCAAAUAUAUAAAUGUUUUUAUGUAAAUGUUUUUAUACGUAUGCAUAUAUGUAAAGUAUUAUCCGGGUAUGUAUGUACGUACGCAUGACUGUGCGUGUGUAUAAUACGAAACACACUUUAAGUCAUUACCAGUGGUAUAUGAAUGUUGAAAAGGUAAGAAGUAUAAAUCAGCACAAUUUUCUUGCCAAUUCGGUGACGUUAGCAUGUUUUCGUCAUGUAUAAUUGGAGUCUCAAUUAGAACGUUGGUGAGCGCAGUAGAUACCAAUUAAAAUGUCGGUGCCUGCUGCAUAUAAAUGUAAAGGUAAAUGAUUGUAUGUAUAGAUGUGUAUCGGCUAUACGUGUAUAUAUAUAUAUAUAUAUAUAUAUAUAUAUAUGCAUGUGUCUAAUGGUGUACUACCCGAGCCAGAAGUGUUUCAGAUUUGCAGUUGCGGGUUAUAUGCGGCUGGAAGAGGUGUGCGCUGGUGGUUGUGAUUAUAAUUCUUAUGUGCUAUCAUGGUUGCCUGACUGCAUAUAUAUGGGUUUUGUACGUUUGUAUAAGAAUAUGUACAUGUGUUUGUGUGUAUGUAAUUACUUUUUUUUUUUACCUUUUUACUUGUGAAUAUGUUAUGUAAGGAUUGUCGAUCUAUAUAUAUAUAAUUGACUGUUAUUUGGGUAGUUUUCGUUUUCAUUGUCAGAGCACAGUUACGAUGCCUGACUAUAUGUAAGCAUUUGGAGUUUACAGAAUACGUGUAUCGGUUUGACAGUGUCUGUGAAUUUGAACUGUCUUUGUUGCUUUCUCUCUUUCUCUUUCUCUCUCUCUUUCCUUUUCUCCCCUAUCUAUCUAUCUUUCUGUCUGUCUCUAUCUGUGUCUGUCUGUCACUCUCUCUCGUUUUCUCUAUAUGCCUCUGCGCAUAUGUAAGUGUUCUUACUCGAGAAAGUGUGUAUAUAUAUUUACAUAUAUAAUUAAUAUUAACUGCCGUGUGCAAUAUGUUACCGUACAUGUAUGAGUGGUGGAGUUCUGGGUAUAUUUUGUAAUGACUAUACAAGGGGGUGUACGGCGCGUUUGCUAAGGUUUGUGUGUAACUUUGUCAUUUCAACGUGCCGUAUGUAUCCUUCUUGAUAAUUUAGUUCUGGUGUCAUAUCAUGUUUUUUUAUAUUGUGCUCCUCUCAUAACAUUUCUGAUACAUUUAUCAUAGCUGUGGCUUUGAAACUGUGCUUUCGCUGGGUUCGUUCCAGAUUCCGUGUGAGUUUGGUUAUGUAUCCUACCAUAUCAAAUAUAAACUAACUAUAUAGAAUGCAUAUACAUGAAUCUGUAAUUCAAUGUGUGUAUGUGACUGUGUGUAAGUGUGUUUUCUCCGGAUGAGUGGGAUAUUGGAUAUUAUAAUUAGUACACGAGUAAUUGGCGCUCUUUUUCUAAUGCAGGUCGUGACAUAGUUUAUAAAUCUGGCGUGAGGUUUGCGACAAAGGAUAUAGUAGUAGUAGUAGAGGUGGUGGUGGUGGUGGUGGUAGUUGUAGUGGUGUUUGUGGUAGUGGUGGUUAUGGUAGUGGUGGAGGUGGUGGUGGCGGUGGUGGUGGUGGUGGUAGUUGUAGUGGUGGUUGUGGUAGUGGUGGUUAUGGUAGUGGUGGUGGUGGUGGUGGUGGUAGUAGUGGCAGUAGCAGCAACAGUAGUAGUCGCAGUAGCAGCAAUAACAGUAGUAAUAGUAGCAGUAGUAUAGUAGCAGUGAUGGUGGUGAUGUGGUGUCAUUGGUGCGUAACAGAAUGGUAAAUUCUUGCUUGGGGCAUGACUGGAGAGGAUCGCUCUAGCAUAGAAGGAGUUUUUUUUUUCAGAAUAAAGCUUAAUAAUUAUGAUAAUAUAGGCGCAGGAGUGGCUGUGUGGUAAGUAGCUUGCUUACCAACCACAUGAUUUCGGAUUCAGUCCCACUGCGUGGCACCUUGGGCAAGUGUCUUCUACUAAAGCCUCGGGCCGACUAAAGCCUUGUGAGUGGAUUUGGUAGACGGAAGGUGAAAUAAGUCCGGUAUAUAUACGUAUAUAUAUAUAUGUGUGUGUGUGUGUGUGUGUGUGUGUGUGUGUGUGUGUGUGUGUGUGUGUCUUUGUGUGUCUGUGUUUGUCCCCUCAACAUCGCUUGACAACCGAUGCUGGUGUGUUUACGUCCCCGUAACUUAGCGAUUCGGCAAAAAGAGACCGAUAGAAUAAGUACUAGGCUUGCAAAGAAUAAGUCCUGGGGUCGAUUUGCUCGAGUAACGGCGGUGUUCCAGUAUGGCCGCAGUCAAAUCAGUGAAACAAGUAAAAGAGUAAAAAGAGAGUAAAGAGAGAGUAGAUAGCAAAUAAAUUCUUUGCUGCGAUCACGUUAUAAAACAUAAUCUUUGAAUAGCGGCGAAGGAAUGUGUUGUUGUGGUUUUCAUUCGGGUGUUUGCUGUACAAGAGACACGGAUGGAUAGUGCUCAAUGGCGGCGUGUUUAGUAUUGAAGCGUAGUUGGCCGUUACUAGCUAAGAAAAUGUAAUGGCAGCAUGUAUCAACUGCACAAAGCUGGCAAUUUCUGGGAAGGGGUAGGUCGAUUACACUGCUCUCCUCCCCCACCACCACCAACCAGUGCUCAACUGGUUCUUAUUUCACGGACCCCGAAAGGAUGAAAGGCAGAGUCGAACUCGGCGGAAUUUGGACUUAGUACGUAAGAGCGGACGAAAUGCCAGUGAGCAAUUUUACCAAUUUCUUUACUACCCACAAGGGGCUAAACACAGAGAGGACAAACAAGGACAGACAAACGGAUUAAGUCGAUUAUAUCGAGCCCAGUGCGUAACUGGUACUUAUUUAAUCGACUCCGAAAGGAUGAAAGGCAAAGUCGACCUCGGCGGAAUUUGAAUUCAGAACGUAACGGCAGACGAAAUACCUAUUUCUUUACUACCCACGAGUGGCCAAACACAGAGAGGAAAAACAAGGACAGACAAACGGAUUAAGUCGAUUAUAUCGACCCCAGUGCGUAACUGGUACUUAAUUUAUCGACCCCGAAAGGAUAAAAGGCAAAGUCGACCCCGGCGGAAUUUGAACUCAGAACUUAACGGCAGACGAAAUACGGCUACGCAUUUCGCCCGGCGUGCUAACGAUUCUGCCAGCUCGCCGCCUUAAAUCAACUGCUAAUGUCGUAAGAAAUGUCACCAAGAAAUAUAAGCAACAUAUAUCAUUACAAUUAUCACACGCAAUUCGCAAUAAAUAUAAGCACAGAUAUGAAUGAACAUAGGACUCCAGAAAUAUCGGUGCAAAUAUCAGGCACGAAUGUCACAAUUAAUGCCAGUGAGAAAAUCACAGUUGAUAUCCUAUCAACACCUUAGGCCGCGUUUAAUGAGAUUUGUUCAGUUUCAAUGUUCCAUAUUUGUGUAAAAUAAAUCAAUAACCCAUACUCUGGAUACGAUGGACUGAGCUGUUCGUCUCUUUACGUUUCUGUAUCUUAGAAGAGACCGAUAUAAUAAGUAACAACUUUAAAAAGAAUGAGUACUAGAGCAGAUUCGUUGGAGAAAAUCCUUGAACGCAAUUCAAUGAUUUAGAUACAUAAAAGUAUAAGGGCCGCUUAGCUUAUUGGUACAGAACGCUAUACCGGUAUCUAAGAGGUUCGAAUGUCCGUAGUCGCCAGCUGGUAACUUUUUAAUCGCAGGUGCGCCACAUUGGCCGCAGCUCCAGAGCUGAAACUAAUUUAACAGUAUACAUACAUGCAUGCAUACAUACAUACAUACAUACAUACAUACAUACAUACAUACAUACAUACAUACAUACAUACAUACAUACAUACAUACAUACAUACAUACAUACAUACAUACAUGCAUGCAUACAUAUAUGCAUACAUACAUACAUACAAACAUACAUACAUACAUGCAUACAUACAUACAUACAUAUAUACAUACAUUACAUACAUACAUACAUGCAUACAUACAUGCAUGCAUACAUACAUUACAUUACAUACAUACAUUACAUACAUACAUACAUACAUACAUUACAUGCAUACAUACAUUACAUACAUACAUACAUACAUUACAUACAUACAUACAUUACAUACAUACAUACAUACAUUACAUACAUACAUACAUACAUACAUACAUACAUUACAUACAUACAUACAUUACAUACAUAACAUACAUUCACACAUACAUACAUUACAUGCAUACAUACAUUACAUACAUACAUACAUACAUUACAUACAUACACACAUUACAUGCAUGCAUGCAUACAUACAUGCAUGCAUGCAUGCAUACAUACAUACAUACAUACAUUACAUACAUACAUUACAUACAUACAUGCAUACAUACAUACAUACAUACAUGCAUACAUACAUACAUACAUACAUGCAUGCAUGCAUACAUACAUACAUUACAUGCAUACAUACAUACAUUACAUGCAUACAUACAUACAUACAUACAUACAUACAUACAUACAUACAUACAUGCAUACAUACAUUACAUGCAUACAUACAUACAUUACAUAUAUGCAUACAUACGUACAUACAUACAUACAUUACAUACAUACAUACAUACAUUACAUACAUACAUACAUACAUACAUACAUACAUACAUACAUACAUACAUAACAAUAUAAAGCGUUAGCCUAAAGGAUAGCUUCUACCUAGUUACAAGAAGACUUCAUCAAACACAUGCCAAAUCUCGUUCAAAUCACACGUACAAUCUCAAAAUCAUCCAAAAGUAAUUAAAGGAAAUGUUCGAUAAAGUAAAUCUACACAUUUUGUAUGAAAAAAAUGAAACGGUUUAACAAUUGGACUGCUGAUUCCAAGCUGAUCUGUGGCUAAAGAACAAAGAUAUUAAUUUCGCUCAGCGUCUAAUUGGAUAAAUAAACUUCAUCCCGGGGUGUUGUUUUCCAAUUUAUGAAAUUCUGGCAAGAAGCUACACAGUGAUAAAACCAUACUUCAUCAAGAUUUUCGAAGUGUUUAACUGGGUGAUAGAAUACAACUACAUUACAAUAAUGGUUUCAUAUUUUUUUUAUAAUUAAGAUCUAAACUGUUAAUAUAUGAAUGCGAAAGAGAUAGCUGAAUAACUGGAAAACUCUGAAUGUUAGUAUUUGGCCGUACUGUACACCGUCGUCCCAUUUCAUAGACCAUUAUUCAAUGCUUAUUUAGCUAAUUUUGUCAAGUUCCCUUUUCAAUUUGUAAGAUUGAAAUUGAAAUACAGUUCUAUAUUUAAGAGAUGAGGAACUAUACACAUCACCCACAUCAUUCACAUCUGACGGACACCUGUCUCCAUCUUGCUUAUUGUUAACACAACCUUUCGGCUGAUAUACUCUCCAGUCUUCAUCAGGUGUUAUGGGAAAUUUCGGACCUGGGUUCUCAUACCUAAGGUAUUUUUCGAUGUUAUUAUUAUUAUUAUUAUUAUUAUUAUUAUUAUUAUUAUUAUUAUUAUUAUUAUUAUUCAUCAUUAUUAUUAUUAUUAUUAUUAUUAUUAUUAUUAUUAUUAUUAUUAUUAUUAUUAUUAUUAUUAUUAUCAUUAUUAUCAUUAUUAUUAUUAUUAUUAUUAUUAUUAUUAUUAAGACUAUAUAGGACCGAGGUAACUCAUCCAGGAGUUAUACACAAAUAAAUAGAAGAGUGCCAUGUCAUGUGAAAUUGGAAGGAACGCUAGAUGCCGAAAUAUGGUUCAAAGAAUUUCACAUAUAGCACUCUUCUAUUUAUUAUUAUUAUUAUUAUUAUUAUUAUUAUUAUUAUUAUUAUUAUUAUUAUUAUUAUUAUUGUUAUUGCUAUUAUUAUUAUUAUUAUUAUUAUUAUUGUUAUUGUUAUUGUUAUUAUUAUUAUUACUAUUAUUAUUAUUAUUAUUAUUAUUAUUAUUAUUAUUAUUAUUAUUAUUAUUAUUAUCAUUAUUGUUAGUGUUAUUGUUAUUGUUAUUAUUAUUAUUAUUAUUAUUUAUUAUUAUUAUUAUUAUUAUUAUUAUUAUUAUUAUUAUUAUUAUUAUUCAGGUCACUGCUUGGAAUCGAACUCGGAAUCUUGGGGCGUGUCAGCCGAAACGUUGUGUUAACAACAAGUAAGAUGGGCACAGGUGUCCGUC
rnacentral:lncRNA from 1 species